rnacentral:rRNA from 1 species
GACAGAGGGUGCAAACGUUGCUCGGAAUCACUGGGCGUAAAGGGCGUGUAGGCGGGAAGGUAAGUCGGGCGUGAAAUCCCUGAGCUCAACUCAGGAACUGCACUCGAAACUACUUUUCUUGAGUGCCGGAGAGGAAAGCGGAAUUCCUGGUGUAGAGGUGAAAUUCGUAGAUAUCAGGAGGAACACCAGUGGCGAAGGCGGCUUUCUGGACGGUAACUGACGCUGAGACGCGAAAGCGUGGGAGG